CUCAGAACAGUGGCCCUUACUCAAUAGAAACAGUCACCAUUUCUGAAAUGGCUGCUGGGUUGCACACAAGGAGAUUCGAGGUAUUUUCCAUUAUUCAUAAAUAUUUCAAGCAGGUAAGUUUAAGACUUUUUUGUUGCUGAUGAGUUAUUCUCUCUCUCACACACAUGCACACAGACAAGAGCUACUUAGAACACACUUGGAUUUGAGUCCAAAUCAAUGAAUAAAUUACACAGAUGGGUUUCAUUGCUUCUAUAUUUGCUACAUAUAACAAAUCAGCAAAAAUGUUCAGCUCAUUAGUAGGGACAAUACAAUGUUGGAGGGGUCCAAUGCGACAAUGAAAGACGUGUUCAUUUUUUCCUGUAAUGUGACUGAUGGUUGGCUCAACAACUGUGGUUUAUAGCAGACCUUUCCUUUAAUAUAACAUACUUCUGCAAAUCUUGUGAGAAAGCCCAAAACAUUAAUACAUGACAGAAUUAAAAAUAACUUCCUUAAAAAGGCUAAAUUACAUGUUUUGGAAAGUUCCAGCUAUGUUAAUCUCAUGACACUAUUUCAUGCUGAAGAACUGUCUUUUUUUUACAGGAAAUAACUGCAAUCCAGUAGCAGCUAAACCAUUCCGGUGGGUAUAUGUAGCUUAUUCGGCCUAUACAUUAAGGACCAGUAAAUCUACAUGCUCUAAAAUAAAGGUUUAAAUUUUAUCUUACAAAUGAAGAUCAGCAAAUUGUGCUCUGCACAUAUUUAUAGCCCUUGUUCCACACUGGCACUUCUUAGUUUUUUAGGGUGACACAAAAUACCUGUCUUUCCCUGUCUAUCCAUUGUCACUGCAGAGUUACUACUUCAAGACAAGAUUCCUGUUCUGAAUGGCACCAUCAGGUCAAACGUUGGAACCCUUUCCACUUCUGCCCCACGGAUGAGCUAUGAUUGAAAGGCAGCAAGUGGGCUUUGCUUGGAAAAGGAUGCAGAAAUUUGUGCAAAGCUUUUAGUUGUCAUGCUGAGACUAGUGGAAAAAGUAAUCUUUUUUGAUUUUUUUCAAUAAACAGGGCUUACACAUUGCGAUAAAUGAGGCUACCUUGUGUCAUGACUGGUGUUAGAAGCCUUUACAUUCACUGCUGGGAUGCCAUGCAAGUGACCUUGUAGUGAGAGCCCUUUCAGCUAACAGCACAGCAGACAUGCCACUGACUAUGAUCCCUACAUGGCCCAGAAAAUCUUCUGUAUACCACAAAGACCGUUACCAAUUAUGCAUCUCUUGGACCAUUUCCAUUUAAGGAGAACCUCUUCCAGAGAUACUGAUCCAGUGCUGAUUUGUACAGCCAGCGAUUUACCCAUGUGAAGGUUGGUGUGGCUCCUUCGUUUCUCUGUAUGUGACCAUUCCCAAAGUUUGCCAUUGUCUCAGAACACUCACUCUGUGUGUUGCUCUUGCAGAAUAAAGAGCCUAAUAUCAAACUCUUUUCCUCAGCACAUGCAAAACUCCUUUCAGAACCUGGAAUUUCUGAUAUUUUCCUUACUUAAACUCUGUUUAGCAUCUAAGUGAGAUGUAGGUAACAAGUGGUUGGGCUGGAACUAAAAAUGACUUUUCUUCCAAAGAGAGACAACUGUGUGUAACGGGAAUGGAAAGGGUCUUCCAGAGGAACAGCCCACUCAAGAAAAAAUGAAAAUAUUUCACCAGGUUCUGCAUCAACCCAGAGUAUUGCAAGGAGGAGAACAUGGGCACUGACCUCCCCGUGUGUGCAGUGCAGUUUGACGUGGCCUGUGAUUCAGCUCUGAGUGGCAGCUGAAGUCCCACCACGGCCCUGAGCCCUGCUGGGGUUGAUGCUCUCAGGGACUGCUUACCGAGCUGGCCAAAUCCCCAACUGCCAACCUCAGUCUGGUUGGGAAAUUUCAUUAAUGUCAGCUAAAAAAUUGGCCCCAGGGCAUAAAAACCAGGAAUAUGAGCUCCAGAGUUAGAAUACCCUUUAACGAAAAGAACCCCUUUAGCCUCUGAGAAGAGGGGACCAAGUAGACCACCCUGCUAAUGCCUGCCCUCCGGUACCCUCUGGCAGAGCGAGUUGCUCUCUCACUCAGGUAAGAAAAGCAGGGGAGAUGAAGAUCCGCCCACAGGUAUUUUCAAGCUAGUUUGGCAAACCAGAGAGACAAAUCCUUUUGCUCUGUCUUUGUACAGCACCUAGCACCGUGAAGUCCUGGUCCAUUCUGGAGCUGCCAGGGACUUCUACAGCACAAAUAACAAAUACAUAAUGCAUCUGCUAGAGAACUCAUGAACCUUUUAUGUUAUUUAUGUACUAAUCUGAACAGCAUGGGCCAGAUUGUGAUCUUAGUUAUUCUGGAGUAAAUGAGAUACGGGUUUGGCCUUACAUCCAUAAGAUCUAUAGUCAAUCAGUGUUUCUAAUGUGCUCAUCAUGGAAAUAUCUUGGCAUUGCGCGGCUGGCCCACUUCAGUGUGACUAGAAUAGCAAAGCAUUAUAUUAAGCAAACAGAACAGUUUGAUUUAUAGAUUUGUGGUAAGAAUAGUUCGGUUUUCCAGGGUGUUCAAUUUAAUUAACAUUCUCCAGGGAAAAAACUGCUAUUGUUUCCCUAACCACAUGCCUUCCAAUACAAAAUAAACUCUUGCUGGUGUGUAUGUGCUGCUUAAUUAUCCUAAAUGAUUCCUUUUGAAAGUUGUCUAUUGACCUGCUCCUACACUUCACAAGUGGAGCAUAUCCCAUUCACUCAAGAGUGUAUCUACCUGCACUUAGCAAAAAAGAGAUACCAGAUGAAUUUUAACACUGCUAAAACAAGAAUACAACCUGCUGCAUGCAGCGUUCCCAAGUGGUGUGUGUGAAUAAGGCUGCAAGGAGAAUUUAUAAAGCCAGGUAAGUUGCAGCAAUACCUGUAAGUCCUAAUUCCAGCUGCCGUUAGACGUUUGCAGAUGUCUGGGGAUAAAUCUACAGCGAGAGGCUGUGCCGGGAUGCUACUGGAGUGCAAAGCAUGAUCUGUUUGGCCCACUAGAGACAAAAUCCUGCUGCCAAUAUUCACUCCGAGCUGCUCCAUGGGUUCGAUGUGCUGGUUUUUAGAGGGGCAAGCUGCAGUAAAAGCAAGUCCCAGGUACUCAGGUCACUCCUUGCUCACGUGUCUGUGUAAAACACACUGCCUUUCACACCAACGCGGUGUCUGACCCGCCAUCUUCAUCUUCCAGGCGCUCUAGUUGCUUUUCAAGAGCGCCAGGAUUCAGAAGAAGGAGAUGGUGGAGCUGUCUUGACUCCAUUUAUUCCAGCACUUAAGUGGAAACAGAACUGGGCCCAGUGAGCAUUGCAGUGUGGGAUGACAGGAGGGCGAGUUUUCGUGUAGUUGAGUCAGUAGUGAGAGCUGGCUGUAGCCGGCUCUGACUGAACACAAUAAACAAUUCCACUUGCAACAUACUGUACUAUUUAAGGGCUCAUAGAUGCCAGUGGGAGUUUUGCCUGAAUAGCAGGCAAAUAACAGGUCCUUAUUCUCUAUCAUAUCUCAUGAAAUAUCACAGCCUCACAUGUGUUGCAGAGGCAGAUAAUGGAGCGACGGAGAUAAGAGGGAGCCGGGGAGGUGAGCGGUGCAGCGGGGCAGUGCCACUGCCUCCCCACCGCUGGAGUGUCGGCCUCGUCCGGCUGGCGAGAUCCCAUCCGGGCUGGAGCCGUCCAGAAGAUGCUCUACGGACAGCGUUGCAUGGGCCAGGGAAACUACGCAAUUAGGCCCUAGAAACUGUGGAUUAACUCUGUAAAGUAAAUGACAUGAUUACAACAA